rnacentral:rRNA from 1 species
GACGAACGCUGGCGGCGUGCUUAACACAUGCAAGUCGAACGAGAAGAGAUGAGAAGCUUGCUUCUUAUCGAUUCGAGUGGCAAACGGGUGAGUAACGCGUAAGCAACCUGCCCUCUAGAUGGGGACAACAGCUGGAAACGGCUGCUAAUACCGAAUACGUUCUUUCUGUCGCAUGGCAGAAGGAAGAAAGGGAGGCUCUUCGGAGCUUUCGCUGGAGGAGGGGCUUGCGUCUGAUUAGCUAGUUGGAGGGGUAACGGCCCACCAAGGCGACGAUCAGUAGCCGGUCUGAGAGGAUGAACGGCCACAUUGGGACUGAGACACGGCCCAGACUCCUACGGGAGGCAGCAGUGGGGAAUCUUCCGCAAUGGACGAAAGUCUGACGGAGCAACGCCGCGUGAACGAUGACGGCCUUCGGGUUGUAAAGUUCUGUUAUACGGGACGAAUGGUACGACGGCCAAUACCCGUCGUAAGUGACGGUAC